rnacentral:rRNA from 1 species
UACGAGGGGGGCAAGCGUUGUUCGGAAUUAUUGGGCGUAAAGGGUGCGUAGGCGGUCUGUCGCGUCGGCUGUGAAAACCCGAGGCUCAACCUCGGGCCUGCAGUCGAUACGGGCAGACUAGAGUGCUGUAGGGGAGACUGGAAUUCCUGGUGUAGCGGUGAAAUGCGCAGAUAUCAGGAGGAACACCGGUGGCGAAGGCGGGUCUCUGGGCCGAUACUGACGCUGAGGAGCGAAAGCGUGGGGAGCGAACAGG